CAAUAGCGUAUAUUAAAGCUGUUGCGGUUAAAAAGCUCGUAGUUGGAUUUCUGUCAAGGACAUCUGGUCCGCCCUCCGGGUGAGCACAUAGUUUGGUCUUGGCAUCUUGCUGGAAACUGUUGCUGCACUUGGCUGUGUGGCGCAGCGUCCAGCACUUUCACUUUGAGGAAAUUGGAGUGUUUCAAGCAGGCACAUGCCUUUGGACACAGUAGCAUGGAAUAAUUAGAUUGGGCUUUUGCUCCAAUUUGUCGGUUUCUGGAGCUGAGGUGAGAAUUAAUGGGGAUUGUUGGGGGCAUCCGAAUUUAGCCGUCAGAGGUGAAAUUCUUGGAUCUGCUAAAGACGGACAACUGCGAAAGCGUUUGCCCAGGAUGUUUUCAUUGA
rnacentral:rRNA from 1 species